rnacentral:ncRNA from 1 species
UCUUUGGGUUCUUCUUGCACAGCUUAGGUGGAAGGCGAAGAAGGCUCCCUCUCGGGGGGGCCUGAGCCACCAGUGAGAUACCACUCUGGAAGAGCUAGAAUUCUAACCUUGUGUCAGGACCUACGGGCCAAGGGACAGUCUCAGGUAGACAUUUUCUAUGGGGCGUAGGCCUCCCAAAAGGUAACGGAGGCGUGCUUUCCAGAAAUUCAAGGUGAAUUUUGGGUCUCUAUCAGACACAAUCG